UAGGGAAUCUUCCACAAUGGACGCAAGUCUGAUGGAGCAACGCCGCGUGAGUGAAGAAGGGUUUCGGCUCGUAAAGCUCUGUUGUUAAAGAAGAACACGUAUGAGAGUAACUGUUCAUACGUUGACGGUAUUUAACCAGAAAGUCACGGCUAACUACGUGCCCG
rnacentral:rRNA from 1 species